UUCCGGUUGAUCCUGCCGGAGGCGACCGCUAUUGGAAUUCGAUUAAGCCAUGCGAGUCGAGAGUCUUAGGGACUCGGCGUACCGCUCAGUAACACGUGGGUAACCUGCCCUGUGCUGGGGAAUAACCUCGGGAAACUGAGAAUAAUACCCCAUAGUUCACCACGCCUGGAACGGUGGGUGGACCAAAGCUCCGGCGGCAUAGGAUGGGCCUGCGACGUAUCAGGUUGUAGGGGGUGUAACGUACCCUCUAGCCAUCAACGCGUACGGGUGUUGGGAGACAUAGCCCGGAGAUGGAUUCUGAGACACGAAUCCAGACCCUACGGGGUGCAGCAGGCGCGAAAACUUGGCAAUGCGAGCAAUCGUGACCAGGGAACUCCAAGUGGCUGGGGUAAUACCCAGUUUUUUCUUGACUCUUCAAAGGUCUUGGAAUAAGGGGUGGGUAAGGACGGUGCCAGCCGCCGCGGUAAUACCGGCGCCUCAAGUGGUAGUCGCUUUUAUUGGGCCUAAAACGUCCGUAGCCGGUCUGGUACAUUCGUGGGUAAAUCAACCCGCUCAACGGGUUGAAUUCUGCGAGCACGGCCAGACUUGGGACCGGGAGAGGUGUGGGGUACUCUCAGGGUAGGGGUAAAAUCCUGUCAUCCUGAGAGGACCACCUGUUGCGAAGGCGCCACACUAGAACGGAUCCGACGGUCAGGGACGAAACCUAGGGGCACGAACCGGAUUAGAUACCCGGGUAGUCCUAGGUGUAAACGCUGUGGACUUGAUGUUGGGGGCGCUCCGAGCGCUUUCAGUGUCGAAGCGAAGGUGAUAAGUCCACUGCCUGGGGAGUACGGUCGCAAGGCUGAAACUUAAAGGAAUUGGCGGGGGAGCACUGCAACCUGAGGAUUGUGCGGUUUAAUUGGAUUCAACGCCGG
rnacentral:rRNA from 1 species